rnacentral:rRNA from 1 species
UGGGGAAUUUUGGACAAUGGGCGAAAGCCUGAUCCAGCAAUGCCGCGUGUGUGAAGAAGGCCUUCGGGUUGUAAAGCACUUUUGUCCGGAAAGAAAUCCUUGGCUCUAAUACAGUCGGGGGAUGACGGUACCGGAAGAAUAAGCACCGGCUAACUACGUGCCAGCAGCCGCGGUAAUACGUAGGGUGCAAGCGUUAAUCGGAAUUACUGGGCGUAAAGCGUGCGCAGGCGGUUUGCUAAGACCGAUGUGAAAUCCCGGGCUCAACCUGGGAACUGCAUUGGUGACUGGCAGGCUAGAGUAUGGCAGGAGGGGGGUAGAAUUCCACGUGUAGCAGUGAAAUGCGUAGAGAUGUGGAGGAAUACCGAUGGCGAAGGCAGCCCCCUGGGCCAAUACUGACGCUCAUGCACGAAAGCGUGGGGGAGCAAACAGGAUUCAGAUACCCUGGUAGUCCACGCCCUAAACGAUGUCAACUAGUUGUUGGGGAUUCAUUUCCUUAGUAACGUAGCUAACGCGUGAAGUUGACCGCCUGGGGAGUACGGUCG